rnacentral:rRNA from 1 species
CUCUAUGGCCCUACCACCUUGAAUGCGCUCGAUCUUGUCUGAUCUCGGAAGCUAAGCAGGGUCCGGCCCGGUUAGUACUUGGAUGGGAGACCACCUGGGAAUAUCGGAUGCUGUAGGCU